GUUCAUCACCUCUCGCUGUGAGGAGCAUGUGUGAACAACCAGGUCAGGUCAGUCCUCCUGAAAUGUUCUAGAUAUUUUCAGGGGAGCAAACGUCUGAAGUGUUUGAGAUGACAUCACGUUAGCAGAUGUGUUCUCUUGAUGAAAGUGCGACCUUGACAGUUGGUUUCGGCAGGAAGCGGCUCCCUCCUCUUUCCAGUCCUGCGUACCGCCACUGAAUCUGUAAGAGGUACUCAGGACUGGACCGCCCCGGCCUCAUGUCCCCCCUUGGUUUAAUAAAUACAGUAAAUAAUCUGACCUGCAGGUUGCCCUUUAAGUUCUCGUGUUCACUUUGUCUUUGAGAUCAAGAUUUAGUUUCGCUCUCAGCGGGAACGUUUACCGCCUUCUCUCAGAACACAAGAUAAUUCAUUGAGCUGAUCACGGUCUCAGUCGGCGUGUGGUCAGAAAAAAAAGAGGCGUUCAUGUAAUUUCAUAUUAAAUCUCCGUGUUUUGGCCUCGAUAUCAAAGAGCGUUAACUCUUUGACCCCCAAGCGGCGUUUCCGCUAUAGUAACUGAGUGCUAAAGUUACUUAGCGGGAGACGCUGUCGUUUAAUGUAAUAUAUUCAUGUUUUUAAUUUAUUUGUAAUAUAUUUGUUUGUUCUAAAUGUUAUUAUGAUUUAUAAGGACAGGGUUGUGUGUGUGUGUGUGUGUGUGUGUGUGUGUGUGUGUCUCGUGUUGAUGACAUGCUCGUAUGUUUUCUUAAUAAUCUGCUUUUCUACUUAUUUUCGGUGAACACGUCGAGCGAGCUCAUCGUUUACAGACGUAAAUAUUUAAAGGCUUCCAGGAACCGCGGCCACGUUUACACGAGAACGCCGCGCUGAAAACCAAAAGGCUAAG